GGGUUCCUGUCCAACGUUAAUCGGGGCAGGGUGAGUCGACCCCUAAGGCGAGGCCGAAAGGCGUAGUCGAUGGGAAACAGGUUAAUAUUCCUGUACUUGGUGUUACUGCGAAGGGGGGACGGAGAAGGCUAUGUUGGCCGGGCGACGGUUGUCCCGGUUUAAGCGUGUAGGCUGGUUUUCCAGGCAAAUCCGGAAAAUCAAGGCUGAGGCGUGAUGACGAGGCACUACGGUGCUGAAGCGACAAAUGCCCUGCUUCCAGGAAAAGCCUCUAAGCAUCAGGUAACAUCAAAUCGUACCCCAAACCGACACAGGUGGUCAGGUAGAGAAUACCAAGGCGCUUGAGAGAACUCGGGUGAAGGAACUAGGCAAAAUGGUGCCGUAACUUCGGGAGAAGGCACGCUGAUAUGUAGGUGAAGCGACUUGCUCGUGGAGCUGAAAUCAGUCGAAGAUACCAGCUGGCUGCAACUGUUUAUUAAAAACACAGCACUGUGCAAACACGAAAGUGGACGUAUACGGUGUGACGCCUGCCCGGUGCCGGAAGGUUAAUUGAUGGGGUUAGCGGUAACGCGAAGCUCUUGAUCGAAGCCCCGGUAAACGGCGGCCGUAACUAUAACGGUCCUAAGGUAGCGAAAUUCCUUGUCGGGUAAGUUCCGACCUGCACGAAUGGCGUAAUGAUGGCCAGGCUGUCUCCACCCGAGACUCAGUGAAAUUGAACUCGCUGUGAAGAUGCAGUGUACCCGCGGCAAGACGGAAAGACCCCGUGAACCUUUACUAUAGCUUGACACUGAACAUUGAGCCUUGAUGUGUAGGAUAGGUGGGAGGCUUUGAAGUGUGGACGCCAGUCUGCAUGGAGCCGACCUUGAAAUACCACCCUUUAAUGUUUGAUGUUCUAACGUGGGCCCCUUACCGGGGUUGCGGACAGUGUCUGGUGGGUAGUUUGACUGGGGCGGUCUCCUCCUAAAGAGUAACGGAGGAGCACGAAGGUUGGCUAAUCCUGGUCGGACAUCAGGAGGUUAGUGCAAUGGCAUAAGCCAGCUUGACUGCGAGCGUGACGGCGCGAGCAGGUGCGAAAGCAGGUCAUAGUGAUCCGGUGGUUCUGAAUGGAAGGGCCAUCGCUCAACGGAUAAAAGGUACUCCGGGGAUAACAGGCUGAUACCGCCCAAGAGUUCAUAUCGACGGCGGUGUUUGGCACCUCGAUGUCGGCUCAUCACAUCCUGGGGCUGAAGUAGGUCCCAAGGGUAUGGCUGUUCGCCAUUUAAAGUGGUACGCGAGCUGGGUUUAGAACGUCGUGAGACAGUUCGGUCCCUAUCUGCCGUGGGCGCUGGAGAACUGAGGGGGGCUGCUCCUAGUACGAGAGGACCGGAGUGGACGCAUCACUGGUGUUCGGGUUGUCAUGCCAAUGGCACUGCCCGGUAGCUAAAUGCGGAAGAGAUAAGUGCUGAAAGCAUCUAAGCACGAAACUUGCCCCGAGAUGAGUUCUCCCUGACUCCUUGAGAGUCCUGAAGGAACGUUGAAGACGACGACGUUGAUAGGCCGGGUGUGUAAGCGCAGCGAUGCGUUGAGCUAACCGGUACUAAUGAACCGUGAGGCUUAACCUUACAACGCCGAAG
rnacentral:rRNA from 1 species